GACAUUAGACAUAGCCCAAUUACUAUAUUAAAUCAGAUAAAAAGCAUGUUCAAAGAACCCCUGAAUAGUCUCUGGCACGCUGUCACACCUCUCUUAACCCUAAGCAUUUUAUGUCUUUUAUUGCUGUUACUAGGGCCUUGUGUCCUUCGCAACAUGUGGAAACUCAUCCAACAAGCCCUAAGAGACCUGCAUCAUUUGAAAUUGCAGACAGCUCCCCCACUUGUAAAUCAUGAGAUUUAAAGCCAAGUAUGGUAGCCAAUGACGGGAAAUAAGAGCAGCUGAUAUUUCACCAGCUGCCAUCCUCUCUGAAAUGAGCCCCUGUACCUGGGAUCCUAUAGGAUGCAAGUAAACAGAAGAGGUUCACCUGAUGUUCUUAUUUUAUGAACCAAAGAGACAUUUUAAUGCUCUAUAAAAAUAAAACAAAGUUACAAAUCAAA